rnacentral:rRNA from 1 species
AGAGUUUGAUCCUGGCUCAGAACGAACGCUGGCGGCAGGCCUAACACAUGCAAGUCGAGCGCCCAGCAAUGGGAGCGGCAGACGGGUGAGUAACGCGUGGGAACCUUCCCGAUAGUACGGAAUAGCCCAGGGAAACUUGGAGUAAUACCGUAUACGCCCGAAAGGGGAAAGAUUUAUCGCUAUCGGAUGGGCCCGCGUAGGAUUAGCUAGUUGGUGAGGUAAUGGCUCACCAAGGCGACGAUCCUUAGCUGGUUUGAGAGAAUGACCAGCCACACUGGGACUGAGACACGGCCCAGACUCCUACGGGAGGCAGCAGUGGGGAAUCUUGGACAAUGGGCGCAAGCCUGAUCCAGCCAUGCCGCGUGAGUGACGAAGGUCUUCGGAUUGUAAAGCUCUUUUGCCAGGGACGAUAAUGACGGUACCUAGAGA